GUUUGGCAUCUCUCUUGCUGUAGUUCUCUGUGCUCUUGGUUUCCUUGUUCCUAAUCUCCUCUCUACCAGUGAUGUGCCGGACUCAGCUGCUGACCAGUGAAGCGUGGUGAGGUACAUGGAAGAAACACCAUGGACCAGGGCUUCACUUUCUGGAGCCAAAGGAACUCCCUUCGGCCUGCGGGUGUAAACUUGGAGGACUUCUUUUUCAAUUCCGGCAAAGAUCCUAAAGACAAGAUCAAAGAACCAUUUUUAUAAAUGAGAUUAUCCUGUUAAGUUCCGACAGCAGCUGUCAUGAUGAUGGAGGCUGAUGACCAGCAUCUCUCCCAAUAAAGAAAUUAUGGCAUGGAUUGCAAAUCGGCACAAAAUCUGAGAUGAAUAAUCCCUCUGGUGGAAAGCUGCAGGUUGGAGUCAUGUUCAGAAAUAAACUGCCUUAGAGAGA